CGCCAGUCCUAUCAACCCGAGAAUGGCAUUGAAGCCGAAGGGCUGAUUGAAGAGGAGCAACACCGGAACCACCCCGGCAAGACCGAGCGGCGCGGUCAACAUGACCAUCGUCAUCGUUGACAGGCUGCGGACCUGGAGGAUGAUGACGAUCAGCAUGGCGGCAAUCAUGGCCGGGAAGAUUUUGACCAGCGCGACAUUGGCCUUGAGAGAUUCCUCAAUGUUCC
rnacentral:sRNA from 1 species